rnacentral:tRNA from 1 species
GCGGUCCUUGGCCAGGAAGUCGCCGGUCUCGCAGAUCGGGCCGACCAGGUCGUAGGCUCGUGGCUCGGCAUCGCGCGGCUGCAC